rnacentral:rRNA from 1 species
CCUACGGGAGGCAGCAGUGAGGAAUAUUGGUCAAUGGGCUUACGCCUGAACCAGCCAAGUCGCGUGAGGGAAGACUGCCCUAUGGGUUGUAAACCUCUUUUGUCAGGGAGCAACGCCGGCUACGUGUAGCCGGACUGAGAGUACCUGAAGAAAAAGCAUCGGCUAACUCCGUGCCAGCAGCCGCGGUAAUACGGAGGAUGCGAGCGUUAUCCGGAUUUAUUGGGUUUAAAGGGUGCGUAGGCGGAAUGCCAAGUCAGCGGUAAAAUCGCGGGGCUCAACCUCGCUCCGCCGUUGAAACUGGCGGUCUUGAGUGGGCGAGAAGUAUGCGGAAUGCGCGGUGUAGCGGUGAAAUGCAUAGAUAUCACGCAGAACUCCGAUUGCGAAGGCAGCAUACCGGCGCCAAACUGACGCUGAAGCACGAAAGCGUGGGUAUCGAACAGGAUUAGAUACCCGUGUAGUC